rnacentral:pre_miRNA from 1 species
UCAUUUUAGGGCUUGAACUAAUGCCCAGUAAAGUCAAUGGGAGUCUUUCCAUUGACUUCAGUGGGCUUUGGAUCAGCCCUCUAGGGA